rnacentral:lncRNA from 1 species
CUCCACCUUCAAGGGUACUACAGGGUAAAAACGUCUGCGAGAAUAAUCUCGGCUUAAUCAUAGCCUGGUCGAUAGGUGCAGGUAUGCUAAAUAUCUCUAUGUCCACAAGAAUGAACGAAGCAAGGAUAUAGUGAAUCCACGUAGAUACAACAAGUCGGGAUUGUUUGCUGCAUUCGUACCUCGUGCGCAGUAUCGCCGAAGCGGCCUUUUCUGGCCGAGAAUGCCAUAAAAUUGCCGCUACCGUCUCCGUCCGGAAUGGAAUCGAAAAUAGAAGUGGCACAACGAGUAUUUCCAACUGUGAAUUCUCCCAAAACAAGAGAACAUCCUGUUCACGCACUACUGCGAUAUAAAAACGAUAGCAGCCAGCUGGAGGGUCGGAAAAAGUCCCGUUGUACCUUUCUUUACUCAGAACUUUUAACUAAUAUUCGCAUCGGCGCGGCGGGGAGAAGCGCAUGUCACACUGACCUCAAAAGAGGGCGAGAAUCUCCUCUGCUUCGUAUCCCGAUGUAGCCUAGGGGCAGUCGUUGACUGCAGUAGGCUACCGGUAGGAAGAUUUCGACCGAUGCCGUGCAAAGGCCGGGCUCUGCUGCCUUGUCGCAGUUGAGUAUAGCUCGGAGUAACUUCACGAGGUUUUAUGCUUCCCUAUGGAAGAAAGCUUCCCAGGUCUAGGGAGAAUCCCUUACAGUCCGAGUGAGACCAA